GAUGAACGCUGGCGGCGUGCCUAAUACAUGCAAGUCGAGCGAAUGGAUUAAGAGCUUGCUCUUAUGAAGUUAGCGGCGGACGGGUGAGUAACACGUGGGUAACCUGCCCAUAAGACUGGGAUAACUCCGGGAAACCGGGGCUAAUACCGGAUAACAUUUUGAACCGCAUGGUUCGAAAUUGAAAGGCGGCUUCGGCUGUCACUUAUGGAUGGACCCGCGUCGCAUUAGCUAGUUGGUGAGGUAACGGCUCACCAAGGCAACGAUGCGUAGCCGACCUGGGAGGGUGAUCGGCCACACUGGGACUGAGACCCGGCGCAGACUCCUACGGGAGGCAGCAGUAGGGAAUCUUCCGCAAUGUACGAAAGUCUGACGGAGCAACGCCGCGUGAGUGAUGAAGGCUUUCGGGUCGUAAAACUCUGUUGUUAGGGAAGAACAAGUGCUAGUUGAAUAAGCUGGCACCUUGACGGUACCUAACCAGAAAGCCACGGCUAACUACGUGCCAGCCGCCGCUGUAA
rnacentral:rRNA from 1 species